CUAGCCGCCUCUCUCCAAACCCCUCCCCCCAUGUGCAGCCGCCCCCCCCACUUCUCCUCCUCCCCUUGGCCGCCCCCUGCCCAUCUCUUCCUCUCUCAAUUUUUGCAGCCACCAAACCCUAGCCGCCCCCCCUCAAUCCCCUCCUCCCAAGGUGCCAAUCCUUGCCGCUCGGAUCAUCGUCUCGUGGUGCGAAUCUCCAACCGUUUUGGUGGAGGGAAGAAGGGAGGAAGAAAAGGGGGAGAACCCAAGGCACCUAAUUUCUGCUUUGGGGAGUAGAGGGAUGUAGUAGCACGGCCACUACACCUUUAAUAAAGGAACCACCAUUUAAUAAUGUUGUUAAUCAGAGUUGGACAAGACUAGUGAAUUGUUUUGUUCUUGGUUGAGCGUUUAUUUUGGGGUGGGGUGGGUUUCUUAUCCCAUUUGUUUUACUUCAGUUGGGUCAUAAUUAGGUUUUACCACUUUUGCAUUACAGUUUCUACUAUGUGAAUUAUAUGUCUUUAUAUCUUGUAUGAGCUUCAUGUUUCCCCUCCUUGUUAUGC